rnacentral:tRNA from 2 species
GCCCCCAUAGCUUAAUGGAUAAAGCAACUGCCUUCUAAGCAGUUGAUCCAGGUUCGAUUCCUGGUGGGGGUA